rnacentral:miRNA from 1 species
CCCACCCUGGUGUUAUUAGGA